rnacentral:rRNA from 1 species
UACGUAGGGUGCGAGCGUUGUCCGGAAUUAUUGGACGUAAAGAGCUCGUAGGCGGCUUGUCGCGUCGGAUGUGAAAGCCCGGGGCUUAACUCCGGGUCUGCAUUCGAUACGGGCAGGCUAGAGUUCGGUAGGGGAGAUCGGAAUUCCUGGUGCAGCGGUGAAAUGCGCAGAUAUCAGGAGGAACACCGGUGGCGAAGGCGGAUCUCUGGGCCGAUACUGACGCUGAGGAGCGAAAGCGUGGGGAGCGAACAGG